rnacentral:pre_miRNA from 1 species
AGGGGGAGAGCAGGAUCCUGGGCUGUGUCCCCCGGCGCCCUGUGCUCCAGGGUCUGUGCUGCUGGAAUCGUGCUCCCAGGGCCGUGCAGCCUUCU